rnacentral:rRNA from 1 species
CCUAACCCAUGCAAGUCGAACGAAGGCUUCGGCCUUAGUGGCGCACGGGUGCGUAACGCGUGGGAAUCUGCCCUUGGGUUCGGAAUAACAGCGAGAAAUUGCUGCUAAUACCGGAUGAUGUCGCGAGACCAAAGAUUUAUCGCCUGAGGAUGAGCCCGCGUUGGAUUAGGUAGUUGGUGGGGUAAAGGCCUACCAAGCCGACGAUCCAUAGCUGGUCUGAGAGGAUGAUCAGCCACACUGGGACUGAGACACGGCCCAGACUCC